UCAGAAGGAACAUCAAUGGCGAAGGCAGCUGUCUGGACCAAUACUGACGCUGAGGUACGAAAGCGUGGGUAGCAAACAGGAUUAGAUACCCUGGUAGUCCACGCCGUAAACGAUGAUAACUAGCCGUUGGGGGGAUUUACCCUUUAGUGGCGAAGCUAACGCGUUAAGUUAUCCGCCUGGGGAGUACGGCCGCAAGGUUAAAACUCAAAGGAAUUGACGGGGACCCGCACAAGCGGUGGAGCAUGUGGUUUAAUUCGAUGCAACGCGAAGAACCUUACCUGGUCUUGACAUCCUGCGAACUUUCUAGAAAUAGAUUGGUGCCUUCGGGAACGCAGUGACAGGUGCUGCAUGGCUGUCGUCAGCUCGUGUCGUGAGAUGUUGGGUUAAGUCCCGUAACGAGCGCAACCCCUAUCCUUAUUUGCCAGCACGUCAUGGUGGGAACUAUAAGGAGACUGCCGGUGAUAAACCGGAGGAAGGCGGGGACGACGUCAAGUCAUCAUGGCCCUUACGACCAGGGCUACACACGUGCUACAAUGGGAAGGACAAAGAGCCGCGAAGCCGCGAGGUGUAGCUAAUCUCAGAAACCUUUUCGUAGUCCGGAUUGGAGUCUGCAACUCGACUCCAUGAAGUCGGAAUCGCUAGUAAUCGUAGAUCAGAAUGCUACGGUGAAUACGUUCCCGGGUCUUGUACACACCGCCCGUCAUACCAUGGGAGUGGGUUGCACCAGAAGUGGCUAGUCUAACUUAG
rnacentral:rRNA from 1 species